GCUGCGCUAGAGCAACAAGGAUGAGAUAGUCCACACAAUCGUCGGCUUCUCCGGAAUCACUUGGCCCUGCGAGGCCAGAGAAAAAUCACAGCUUCGCUGUCACAGGGAAGGAGGGCAGAUGACCCGGAAAAACGUGACUGGAUCUGGAGCGAGAGCUUUCUCGUCUGGCUUGGCAAUCCCACCGUGCCUGCCUCAGAAGACGAAGCUGCACCCCCGCCCCCCCUGCCCAGAAAUCUAAAGGACAGCUACAGCAGCAAAACCUAAGGUUAUUGGCUGAAUUCAACGUGAGAUUUGACGCCAAGAAGGAAAGCAUACCAGUACAGAGAAAACAGAAAAAGUCUUCCAUUGGCAAUUCCCACCCCCAAAGUUUGGUCUUUGAACUUUCCAAUUUGUGACUAGCCAGGGAAGAAAAUUUCUCCUCUGUGCAAAAAUUUUUUUUUUAAUUAAACUUUGUUUAUUUGA